rnacentral:rRNA from 1 species
GACGAACGCUGGCGGCGUGCUUAACACAUGCAAGUCGAACGAUGAAGCGGUGCUUGCACCGUGGAUUAGUGGCGAACGGGUGAGUAAUACGUGAGUGACCUACCUUUGACUCUGGGAUAAGCCUGGGAAACUGGGUCUAAUACCGGAUACGACCAAUCUCUGCAUGGGGUGUUGGUGGAAAGCGUUAUGGAGUGGUUUUAGAUGGGCUCACGGCCUAUCAGCUUGUUGGUGAGGUAAUGGCUUACCAAGGCGACGACGGGUAGCCGGCCUGAGAGGGUGACCGGCCACACUGGGACUGAGACACGGCCCAGACUCCUACGGGAGGCAGCAGCGGGGAAUAUUGCACAAUGGGCGCAAGCCUGAUGCAGCGACGCCGCGUGAGGGAUGACGGCCUUCGGGUUGUAAACCUCUGUUAGCAUCGAAGAAGCGAAAGUGACGGUAGGUGCAGAGAAAGCGCCGGCUAACUACGUGCCAGCAGCCGCGGUAAUACGUAGGGCGCGAGCGUUGUCCGGAAUUAUUGGGCGUAAAGAGCUUGUAGGCGGUUGGUCGCGUCUGCUGUGAAGGCCGGGGCUUAACUCCGGUUUUGCAGUGGGUACGGGCUAACUAGAGUGCAGUAGGGGAGACUGGAAUUCCUGGUGUAGCGGUGGAAUGCACAGAUAUCAGGAGGAACACCGAUGGCGAAGGCAGGUCUCUGGGCUGUAACUGACGCUGAGAAGCGAAAGCAUGGGGAGCGAACAGGAUUAGAUACCCUGGUAGUCCAUGCCGUAAACGUUGGGCACUAGGUGUGGGGGACAUUCCACGUUUUCCGCGCCGUAGCUAACGCAUUAAGUGCCCCGCCUGGGGAGUACGGCCGCAAGGCUAAAACUCAAAGGAAUUGACGGGGGCCCGCACAAGCGGCGGAGCAUGCGGAUUAAUUCGAUGCAACGCGAAGAACCUUACCAAGGCUUGACAUGCAUUAGAUCGCGUCAGAGAUGGCGUUUCCCUUCGGGGCUGGUGUACAGGUGGUGCAUGGUUGUCGUCAGCUCGUGUCGUGAGAUGUUGGGUUAAGUCCCGCAACGAGCGCAACCCUCGUUCUAUGUUGCCAGCGGUUCGGCCGGGGACUCAUAGGAGACUGCCGGGGUCAACUCGGAGGAAGGUGGGGAUGACAUCAAAUCAUCAUGCCCCUUAUGUCUUGGGCUUCACGCAUGCUACAAUGGCCGGUACAGAGGGUUGCGAUACUGUGAGGUGGAGCUAAUCCCUUAAAGCCGGUCUCAGUUCGGAUUGGGGUCUGCAACUCGACCCCAUGAAGUCGGAGUCGCUAGUAAUCGCAGAUCAGCAACGCUGCGGUGAAUACGUUCCCGGGCCU